rnacentral:rRNA from 1 species
UACGUAGGUGGCAAGCGUUGUCCGGAUUUACUGGGCGUAAAGGGUGCGUAGGCGGUCAUUUAAGUCAGAUGUGAAAUACCCGAGCUUAACUUGGGUGCUGCAUUUGAAACUGGGUGUCUAGAGUGCAGGAGAGGUAAGUGGAAUUCCUAGUGUAGCGGUGAAAUGCGUAGAGAUUAGGAGGAACACCAGUGGCGAAGGCGACUUACUGGACUGUAACUGACGCUGAGGCAUGAAAGCGUGGGGAGCAAACAGG